rnacentral:miRNA from 12 species
ACCAGAGUUACCGUUACGAUU